GGGGGUAGAAGUUCAAUGUUUGUUUCUUGAAACAUAUAAAUGAACCAAAAUUUAAAAAAAUGAAAUAAAUACAAGACUAUAUACAAAUGUAGCAAAGGUUACGGACUCAAGUUGGGUCAUGCAGGUGCAACAAAUGCGGCAGUGUUAAACAUGUUUAGGGAUAUCUCAUGCCCCUCUUUAUACGUCUAACCAAUGUAGUUAUAUCUGCCUUCUAUUUGUAAUGUAUCCAAAACGUUAAAAGGAAAGGCCACUUCUUAUCCAGCUAAAACCCUGGUCAGUCCUAUGAUGAAAAUAAUUCAGAUGUAUAUGGAAUGUUUGAUAAGUUAUAUUGACCCAGAGUACCUGGACGGAAUUGUGAAAAAUAAAGUACCUUUUCAAUUUGCAAUUCGUAAAAUAACUGAACAGUGUGGCCUGGUAGAAGAGGCCGAAAAAUGAGG
rnacentral:lncRNA from 1 species